rnacentral:tRNA from 1 species
GAGGGUAAGAGCUCAGUGGUGGAGUGCGUGCCUCGCAUGCAUGAGGCCCUGGGCUCAAUCCCCAGUACCUCCA